AGAAGUCCCGGCUAACUUCGUGCCAGCAGCCGCGGUAAUACGAAGGGGGCUAGCGUUACUCGGAAUUAUUGGGCGUAAAGCGUGCGUAGGCUGCUUAGUAAGUCAAAAGUGAAAGCCUUGGGCUCAACCUAAGAAUUGCUUUUGAAACUACUAAGCUUGAGUACUGUAGGGGGUAGCGGAACUCCUAGUGUAGGGGUGAAAUUCGUAGAUAUUAGGAGGAACACCGGAGGCGAAAGCGGUUAUCUGGACAGUCACUGACGCUGUUGCACGAAAAGCGUGGGGAGCAAACAGGUUAGAUACCCUGGUAGUCCACGCUGUAAACGAUUGAAGUGCUAAA
rnacentral:rRNA from 1 species